ensembl:lncRNA
AAAUUACCUGAAGAAACUAUUGCGGCGGUUGAAGCCGAGCCGACUUGCGGCCCCGCCCCUGAUUCUGCUUCGGUGGACCUAAGCUCCGCCCCCACAGCCACAGAAGAGCAGCCUGCAAUGGAAGAGAAAAAGCCGGACGACGAGGUUGUUGGUCGGGUAGCAUCCGGCGCAGAAACGUCCAAUCGGAAUGUCUCCGAGAACCAGCAGCUCUUAGAAGCCCGGCCCGAACCCGCGAGGGAGCCGGCCGCAAACCAUUGGAAGCCCUUCGAGGAGAAACCGCCGGCAGCCGGGGGAGGUCGCGUCGAUCCUCGGACGGCGUCCGACCCCGCCGCGGUCACCGAAUCACAAGUGGAGGAGCUGCCCGGCGGCGGGAGGGGAGGGGAGGGGGCCGCGCCCGCUUGCCAGACCGCGAGGCGUCGAUUACAAAAACCCAAACCCAAACCCAACGUAUCACAGGCGCCGAGGACUGCGCGGUGCAAACCUGAAACCACAGCGGACCCUGUCCCCGCCGUGCGGCUCGGCGAGACGCCCCCCGACGGGACGUCAGGGCCCCGGCCCCCUGAAAACGCGGCAGCAGUGGAAGAAGCGACGCCACCUUGCAGUGGCGCCCGUCCCGAAGAGCCGAGCCGAAGUAAAAGUGCUGCUUCAGUGACAGAACCAUCGCCGGAAUUGCGCUCUCCCCCUAAAACCACGGAGGACAUGUCUUCAACCGAGGAGCAGAAGACGGACGCCGGACGUGGACUCGGCUCGGGACAGAGUGUUCCCCUGCGCAGGCAACGCUUCGCUAAAGUCAAACCCAACGUGGGGUCGUCCCCCAGAGCUGCACGCGCUAAACAGCAGUCACGUGACAUUAGCAAACCCCCAGAGCGGUGCCACGCGGACCCCCCCUCAGAGACUGUGCCCCCAUCCAAGACGCCGUCACCAGCUGGUCCAACACAAAGCACUCAGCGGCCACUUGCUAGGGAAGACUGCGAGGCCCGCAGUCAGGAGGAGAAUCAACCAGCUGCCCCAAACACUGAGUCACCCGACUCAAGAAAAGCCCCUCGGGCUGUUCGCGGGCGGCUCAUUAGACCCAAGCCCAGUCUGGCUCGCAGCGGCCGGCCUCCACUCCCCCGGCAAGUUCCAGAGACAAAAGCAGCAGCGAGAGAUUUCGACGGCCCCGUUUGCCACAGUGUGUCUGAACUGCGGCCCGGCGUCCCGGGCCCAGCAGAGGGCGCUGUCGUGCAAUGCGGUGACCGGAGCUCUUCUCAAAAUGACUCCGGCUCGACCCCGAGCAGCCUGACGCAAGUCACCCAACACGACCCCCCCGCAGACUUUGCUGGUUCCUCUCUGGGUUGUUUGACUCGAGCUCCCGACGGUUGUACCCAGGAUGCCUCCACGUCAAUCACAGGGGAGACGCAGACUCCAAAUCUCUCAGUAUUUCCAGACUUGCUGUUGAAGGAGGUGCCCAGAGAUGAAGACGAACCGUUCUUCAUCCUCUCUCUGACUGAGAUCCCCGUCACGGUGCCAGAACCCCUCCCCUAUCGCCCUGCAGCUGAGCUAGAGAGGCCCGUGGCCGCCCUUCCCCCUCAGGGGGUCGUCCCGUCCGUCCCGCACUCGUGCGCGGAAAAGGAUUUUCUGCUCCCACAGCCUUCGGCCAUCGGCGUUCCUGGGGAGAGGUCGGCGGCGGCUGCGUGCCUGGAGGGGAGCGGCGAGACGGGCCUCGUCCGUCAGGACGCCGGGGCGUGCGCGGGUUUGAUCGUGGAGGAUCCAGCGGCGGCAGAUGGUAGAGAGCAUUAUUUUAAGCUGUCAUGUAAACCAACGGCCGAUGUCACAAUGCUGAUUGUGCGUGUUGAUUGUUUGUACCACAGUGCAUCCGUGCACUGUUAG